UAAUACGUAGGGGGCGAGCGUUAUCCGGAAUUAUUGGGCGUAAAGAGUGCGUAGGUGGUUUUUUAAGCGUGGGGUGAAAGGCAAUAGCUUAACUAUUGUAAGCCCCGCGAACUGGGAGACUUGAGUGCAGGAGAGGAAAGCGGAAUUCCUAGUGUAGCGGUGAAAUGCGUAGAUAUUAGGAGGAACACCAGUGGCGAAGGCGGCUUUCUGGACUGUAACUGACACUGAGGCACGAAAGCGUGGGGAGCAAACAGG
rnacentral:rRNA from 1 species